rnacentral:rRNA from 1 species
UCUUCACACACGCGGCAUGGCUGGAUCAGGCUUCGCCCAUUGUCCAAUAUUCCCCACUGCUGCCUCCCGUAGGAGUCUGGACCGUGUCUCAGUUCCAGUGUGACUGAUCAUCCUCUCAGACCAGUUACGGAUCGUCGCCUUGGUAGGCCUUUACCCCACCAACUAGCUAAUCCGACCUAGGCUCAUCUGAUAGCGUGAGGUCCGAAGAUCCCCCACUUUCUCCCUCAGGACGUAUGCGGUAUUAGCGCCCGUUUCCGGACGUUAUCCCCCACUACCAGGCAGAUUCCUAGGCAUUACUCACCCGUCCGCCGCUGAAUCCAGGAGCAAGCUCCCUUCAUCCGCUCGACUUGCAUGUGUUAGGCCUGCCGCCAGCGUUCAAUCUGAGCCAGGAUCAAACCCUU